UUUUUAAAAUUCUGAAAAUGCCAACCAAAUGAUUAUGGCACAUGUGCAUGGGGCAGAACAUCACAGAAGCAUGAAUAAAUAUCCAGCACUUCGAUAAGCAUCCACCCUGUGCGCACUCUAUCUAAGUGACAAUGGUUUUGAAAUCCUGCCACCAGAUAUUGGGAAGCUCACAAAGUUGCAGAUAAUAAGCAAUGAUGGGACCUCUUCUCCGGCAUUUGUUGCCCAGAUAAUUUUGCCUUUGGAGAAGAGAAGAAAAUCACAUUGGUCUGCUCGGAAUGCAACAAAACAAAGUGUUAUUGACACCAAAACCUUAUUUGCACCAAUCCAAACAGCCUAUGGGACAUAUGUCUGCAAUGCUGCACACACCUGGGGCUAGCCAGCUUAGUGCCCUACGAUAUGUGCCAAUAAUCGAUAGCAUUUUUUACUACAGUAAUUAUGAGAAGCAUAGUAUUUUCUAGCAUACUUGUGAAGAGUGGAAACAAAUAUUAAUCCCCUUCAGAGAGUAAAGGACAUUAUGAAUUGAGAAUUUCCUCCCAAUUUAUUCUCCAGAAUGAACAGAAUUAACAGUGAG
rnacentral:lncRNA from 1 species